rnacentral:rRNA from 1 species
AGUGAACGCUGGCGGUAGGCCUAACACAUGCAAGUCGAACGGCAGCACAGUAAGAGCUUGCUCUUACGGGUGGCGAGUGGCGGACGGGUGAGGAAUACAUCGGAAUCUACUUUUUCGUGGGGGAUAACGUAGGGAAACUUACGCUAAUACCGCAUACGACCUACGGGUGAAAGCAGGGGAUCUUCGGACCUUGCGCGAUUGAAUGAGCCGAUGUCGGAUUAGCUAGUUGGCGGGGUAAAGGCCCACCAAGGCGAGGAUCCGUAGCUGGUCUGAGAGGAUGAUCAGCAACACUGGAACUGAGACACGGUCCAGACUCCUACGGUAGGCAGCAGUGGGGAAUAUUGGACGAUGGGCGCAAGCCUGAUCCAGCCAUACCGCGUGAGUGAAGAAGGCCUUCGGGUUGUAAAGCCCUUUUGUUGGUAAAGAAAAGCAGCAGGUUAAUACCCCGCUGUUCUGACGGUACCCAAAGAAUAAGCACCGGCUAACUUCGUG